CGUUGAUGAAAUUAGGUUCUAUUUUUACCUAAAAUCAAAACUUUUCAAGUGCAAAAAAAAAAAUAUAAAGAAACAUCAGGGCUGCCAGAUUGUAAGUAACGUCUGAGUGGUAGUAUACGUUUCUUACAAAA